rnacentral:rRNA from 1 species
CAGCCGCCACGGGAACACAGAGGAUGCAAGCGUUGUCCGGAAUUAUUGGGCGUAAAGGGCUCGCAGGCGGUUUCUUAAGUCUGAUGUGAAAGCCCCCGGCUCAACCGGGGAGGGUCAUUGGAAACUGGGAAACUUGAGUGCAGAAGAGGAGAGUGGAAUUCCACGUGUAGCGGUGAAAUGCGUAGAGAUGUGGAGGAACACCAGUGGCGAAGGCGACUCUCUGGUCUGUAACUGACGCUGAGGAGCGAAAGCGUGGGGAGCGAACAGGAUUAGAUACCCCAGUAGUCCCUGUCUCUUAUAC